GUCUUUUAAUUGGAGACUUGUAUGAAUGAUUUGAUGAAAUAUAAACUGUCUCUAUAUUAAAAAUAGAAUUUAAUUUUUUAGUUAAAAAGCUAAAAUUUAUUUAAAAGACGAGAAGACCCUGUAGAGUUUUAUAUUUAAAAUUAUAUUAAUUUUUUAUAAAAUUUUUAUUUAUUAUUUUUUUUAAAUAUUUUAUUGGGGUGAUAGAAAAAUUUAAUAAACUUUUUUUAAAAAUUUUACAUUAAUAUAUGAAAUUUUGAUCCAUAAUUUAUGAUUAAAAGAAUAAAUUACCUUAGGGAUAACAGCGUAAUUUUUUUUUUUAGUUCUUAUAAGAAAAAAAGUUUGCGACCUCGAUGUUGGAUUAAG
rnacentral:rRNA from 1 species